GACGAACGCUGGCGGCGUGCUUAACACAUGCAAGUCGAACGGUGAAGCGCCUUCCUUUUUGGUGGGUGUGGAUGAGUGGCGAACGGGUGAGUAACACGUUAGUAACCUGCCCCCUUCUUCUGGAUAACCGCAUGAAAGUGUGGCUAAUACGGGAUAUUCUGGGUCUGUCGCAUGAUGGGUCUGGGAAAGAUAUUGUUUCGGUGGGGGAUGGGCUCGCGGCCUAUCAGCUUGUUGGUGGGGUGAUGGCCUACCAAGGCGGUGACGGGUAGCCGGCCUGAGAGGGUGGACGGUCACACUGGGACGGAGACACGGCGCAGACUACUAGGGGAGGCAGCAGGGGGGAAUAUGGCACAAUGGGAGGAAGGCUGAUGCAGCGACGCCGCGUGAGGGAUGGAGGCCUGCGGGUUGUGAACCUCUUUCGCCAGUGAAGCAGGCCUGCCUCGUUUGUGGGUGGGUUGACGGUAGCUGGAGAAGAAGCGCCGGCUAACUACGUG
rnacentral:rRNA from 1 species